rnacentral:rRNA from 1 species
CCCUUAGGCACUCUAGGCGGCACGCGCGCUACAAUGGGUGGAAGAACGUGUUACUGCCUCCGAAAGGAGGGGUGAAUCACGAAUUCUUGCCCGUGAAUGGGAUAGUUUGUUGCAAUUUUCGGACUUGAACUAGGAAUCCCUUGUAAACAUGCUCAAGAAUAGCGUGUUGAAUACGUCCCUGCCGUUUGUACACACCGCCCGUCGUUUCUUCCGACUGAUACUCAUUGUGAGUUGCAAGGACCCUUUAUUGGGAAAUUGCUGCAAAUGCUUUGUAUUGGAGGAAGAAAAAGUCGUAACA